UGGGGAAUCUUGCGCAAUGGGCGAAAGCCUGACGCAGCAACGCCGUGUGUGCGAUGAAGGCCCUCGGGUCGUAAAGCACUGUUUACGGGAAAGACGGGUCCUAUUGUUAAUACGAGUGGGAUUUGACGGUACCCGUGUAGGAAGCACCGGCUAACUCUGUGCCAGCAGCCGCGGUAAUACAGAGGGUGCAAGCGUUGUUCGGAAUUAUUGGGCGUAAAGCGCGCGUAGGCGGUUAUUCAAGUCGGAUGUGAAAGCCCGGGGCUCAACCUCGGAAGUGCAUCCGAAACUGGAUGACUUGAAUCCUGGAGGGGGCAGUGGAAUUCCCGGUGUAGAGGUGAAAUUCGUAGAUAUCGGGAGGAACACCAGUGGCGAAGGCGACUGCCUGGACAGUGAUUGACGCUGAGGUGCGAAAGCGUGGGUAGCAAACAGGAUUAGAUACCCGUGUAGUCC
rnacentral:rRNA from 1 species